rnacentral:lncRNA from 1 species
ACUCGGGGUCCGGCGUCCGGCGGGGCGGGGGGCGGGGGCCGCGGAGCCGGCUUGGCCGCCGCGCUCGGCCGCGAGUGACAGGCCCGGGGCGGAGGGCGGGGCCGCCGGCGGGGAUGAGGUCAUGCCGAGCGAAAAAAGCCCCUGACGUCACCUGCAGCCAAUCAGCGCACGCGGCUCGGGGGCAGGUGACGUCAGCCAGCGCCCCGGCUCCGGGUGCAGAUUAGAGGCGGCGGCCGUGGGGGGCGGGGGCCGGGCUCCGCGCCGUCGCCUGGCGCCCUCUGCCCUCCCCUCUCUCCGCGGCCCCGGCUCUUAAAGGGGCCGCGCGGCCUCGGAUCCCUCGCCUGGAACCCCACCUCCAGGAAGCCCUCCGGGCCCCAGCGGUCCGCCCCACCCGGAGACCCCCCAGUCUCAUCUUACACCCGCGGAGGGUCCAGUCGUCCGGGUCCCGAGGGCAAGCGUCCUCUCUCCGCCGGCCUGUCAGGAGCUACCCCCAACCCCACCCCACCCCACCCCACCCCUGGCAGUCUUUGUUCGUGCGGGGUUUGCCGCGGGCAGCGGCUUCUCUAGCCCGGGGCGGGCACGAGCGCACCCCGCGAACCCGGCCCAGGCGGCGCUUUACCUUAGAAAUCCACCCUAAGCGGCGCUCUCGGGACCUGCCCUCGCAGGGUGCCCCCAGCCCGGUAAAGGCAGUUGAGGGUUCGCCCCAGCCGACCGCUGUUGGAACACAAGCCCUCGGCCGCUUGGACGCUGGUUGUCCAGAGCGGGAGCAAACAUAGGAGACUGCUUUCUAUACUCUCCUGGGACAGGUGGGCACUCGGGAUCCCAGAGCUGUGAGUGCAGCUGGGGACGGUCGUGAUGGCCAGGCCUCCGCUGGACCCUCUCUUCCCUACUCUCAAUUCUCCUGACCUCUGGCCUCAGAGCUUUGUCCACAGUAGGUGCUUAGUGGACCCAAAGGAGGAAGGUGUUGCUGAGGAGAGAAGUCCUGGCUGGAGGUGGACCCUGAACUCAGCGAGAUGCCCAGCCCAGUUGCGUGGCCAGGCACUUUUCCACCGAGGUCUCCUGUUUGAUAACUGCUGGGUCUGUCGAUGUGCUGGUUUGGCUCCUACUUUAUAUACACUGCUUUGCGACCCCAUGAACUGUAGCCCGCCAGCCUCCUCUGUCCAUGGGAUUUCACAGGCAAGAAUACUGGAGUGGGUUGCCAUUUCCUUCCCCAGGGUCAUAUACUGCUACACUUAGUAUAUAUUCCUGCUUCUUCCCUUUUGUUUCCCUGGUCAGUUUUGCCAGGAGUUGGUGACUUUCUUAGUCUUUGCAAAGACCAGUUUCUGGUGGUGUUGAUCUUUAUUGUGUAUUUAAAAAUAUUUUUUUAUUAAAAUAGAUAAUCAACAAGGAUGUACUGUAUAGCACAGGGAACUAUAUUCAAUAUUUUGUAAUGACCUAUAAAGGAAAAGAAUCUGAAGAAGCAUAGAUUAUGGACACGUAUAACUGAAUCAGUUUGCUCUAUACCUGAAGGUAUCACAACACUGUAAAUCAACCAUGCUUCACUAAUAAAGAAAAACUAGAUCCUGAAAGUAUGUGUAAUGCUGAAAGUCCUAGGAUAAGAUGAGAAGAGUACAGCUAAGUGACUAAAGCAAGAUUCUAAACUAUAUGUAUCUGUGAUGCCAAUACACAGACAUACUCAGGCAUAGACACAGGGAGAUGUUUAAAAAUUAACAUAAUUGCUUUUUUCUUUUCUUAAAAAACCUAAUGCUAUUUUAUAUUGCUUUAUAAUAAUUAAGCAUUUGUAAGUUUGAAAAAAUAUUAACUGUUUUUGUUCUCACAUUGAUUUCCUUCUACUCUAUUAUCUUUCUCUACUGUUUCUCUUUCUACUUUCUGUUAUAGAUACUUUGCUUAUUAGUCUCUAGUCUUUUUUUUUUUUUUUUUUUCCAAAACAAGCAUUUUGGGUUAAACAUUAUUUUAAAAUAAAGUUUUAGUUCCAUAACCCAAGUUU